rnacentral:rRNA from 1 species
UAGGGAAUAUUGGUUAAUGGGCGAAAGCCUGAACCAGCAACGCCGCGUGUGCGAUGAAGGCCUUCGGGUCGUAAAGCACUUUUGAAGGGGAAGAGGAAGGACGGUACCCUUCGAAUAAGCCUCGGCUAACUACGUGCCAGCAGCCGCGGUAACACGUAGGAGGCAAGCGUUAUCCGGAUUUACUGGGCGUAAAGCGCGUGCAGGCGGUUUGGUAAGUUGGAUGUGAAAGCUCCCGGCUUAACUGGGAGAGGUCGUUCAAGACUACCAGACUCGAGAGUGAUAGAGGGAGAUGGAAUUCCGGGUGUAGUGGUGAAAUGCGUAGAUAUCCGGAGGAACACCAGUGGCGAAAGCGAUCUCCUGGAUCAUUUCUGACGCUCAGACGCGAAAGCUAGGGUAGCAAACGGG